UAAGAUGAUGAGCAUUGAAGAACCUCAAUAUGGAAUUUGCUUUCUUUGUGGCAAAAGCCACUGUGCAAGAAACUGCCUUUGCCUCAACUGCUGACAGUGUGCUGUCCAAAGUAGACAAGCAGGUCACAAAAGAAGACAACUAGCAAACUUUGCCCAAACAAGUAGGGCAGUCCUUCAAAAUCCUGCUUCACAGAAAAGUCUGUCAGUUAUUCUAGGCCUGCGGGCCGAAGAUAGAUGCCCCCAUGUUGCAGAGUACCCUUGAGCGACUGUCCAGGCAGCCCACCAUCUCUGUCAUUUCUACAGUUUUGGAAGUUGUCUGCUCUGCACUUCCUGUUUACUCAGGUGACUCCUUGGACUGUCACAUGACUUCCUGGAUAGAUAAAGAGGUUACCGACAGACAGAACAGGACUCUGUCCAGCUUGGCAAACCAGAAUGUCAGCCGCCGCAUUACCGCAGACUCAGUUGUCAGCUGCAGUGCCCUGUUUCCGUCCUUGCCCAGACUGUGCCAGGAGCUUCCUUCGGUCCCUACAGCAGCUCUGCUGGGUGAACCUGGGGGGACAGCUUCUUAGAGGACCUGGAUAAGAGGGAGUAGAGCUCAUGGAGCCCCAGCGCACAGCUCUGCUGAGACUCCUUGGACUCAAAUGACCAUGGAACCAGAAGUGAGUUCAAGAUAAGUCUUUUAGGGGAUUGAGGGAUGGCUCAGAGGACCCAAGUUCGACUCCCAGCACCCCUUACUGCCUGUAACUCCAGCUCCAGGUGAUCCCACACUCUCUUCUGGCCUCUGAGGGCACUGCACACACAUGUACUAACAUUCACUCCCUGUCUCUCGUCUGUCUCUCUGUCUCUGUCUCUCCCCCUACACACAUAAUUAAAACUACAAUUUAAAAAAAUAAGUCUUACACUUGUGUGGUAGUCAGACAUCAGGCUUAACAAUAUGAUGUCCCUAUCUACUCUAGAAGCCCAUUCCUCAAAGUUGUCUACAGAUCUCCACUGCUGUCCUUCUGAAAAACUACUUUAUUAUUAUUACUCUGUGUGCAUGGCAUGUAUGUCAGGGAAGGCAUGUAGGUGAAGGUCAGAGUCCAACUUUGUGGAAUCAGUUCCCUCCCUCCACCUUUAUGUGGGUUCUAGCAACUGAACUCAGGCCUGCACUGCACUGUUCCAUUAAUUAGGAAAACUGUAUCCUGCAAAUAUAGCAUGUUACUGAAGGGGAAACUGAAUACAGUAUGAGAACUUUGUGUUGUUUUCAUAGUAAUUCAAGACUGUUUUAUAAAAACAGGAGAGAGAGAUGGCCCCUCAGUUAAGAACACUUGCUGUGCUUGCAGAAGACGGGUUCUCAGCACCCAUGAAGGGGGCGUUUACAGCUGCCUUCUCCAGUUCCAGGGGAGUCCACACCCUCUACUGGCCUCCACAGGCAACUGCACCCAUGUGGGCAUACACACACAUACAUAAGUAAAAAAUAAGUUUUAAGUUAGUGUGAGUACAUGAUUUUAGUGACAUGGUGUGCAACCCUGAUUUUAAUUUCACAUUGCCACACAGUCUUUAAUCUGUUUUGGUCACAUGACUAUUGAAUGUGGAAGCUCCCCCAUGAGCUCUGUACAUUGUGCUCAUGGAUCAAGAUGUGAGCUCUCAGCCGCUGCUUUAAACACCUUCCUUCUGGACAUAAGCUCAGCUGAACUCUGUCUUUUAUAAGUUGCCUCGAUUAUGUUUUAUCACAGCAAUAGAAAAAAAACUAUAUAGGCUACUACAUCCAGCUUUUCACUUUUUUUGAGACAGUGUCUCAUGCUGUAUUUCAGCCUGGAACUCACUGCAUAGCCAAGGCUGACCUUGAACUUGCAGCAAUCCUUCUGCCUCAGCUUACUGUGUGCUAGGAUUUCCAAGGUGAGCCAUCAUGCCUGACUCAGGAGGACAUCUCCUCAAUGCCAGAGUCCCACAGCCUAGAUUUUAAUCCUGGUUCUAUUACUACCUAGGGACAGGCUUCUGGUCUAUUGACUGGUCCCACCCCACAAACAGAAAAAACAAAAACAAAACCAAGCAGAAAGCACAGCGGAUGGUGAGCUCACCUCUUUGGUUUACACUGGUCACUCUUAUACCCCCAAGAUAGAUGUAGGCAUGAGCACACUGCUUAGAGUCUGGACUCAGGUCCUGCCCCUUCCAUGCCCAGCUGUUCCCUCUUCCUUACUCUUGCUGAGACCAGCUAGGGGUCAGAAGGAGGUUACCGGCCUCCAGCAGCAUGGGGUCUGGGAUGGUCCUGGGGACCCCAAGGCUAAUUGAUGACUUGCUUUCUGGUCAGUUGAAAGACAGAGCUAACCCCGCUCUGUCUCAGAGGUAGAAAGGGACAGGGGCAUGGAGGUGGCUCAGCAGGAAACAUGCUUGCUGUGCAAGAACAGGGACCUGAGUUUUCAUACCCAGCACACAAACGAACACACAGCCAGGCACUGCAGACCUGUAAUCCCAGUGUUGGGGAAUAAUCUUUUUGUAUGCUGUGAAAUGUGCCGCUCUGAUUGGUUUCAUCAAAAGCUGAGUGGCAAAUAGCUAGACAGGACUUCCAGGCACAGGGAGAGCUGAGGAGAAGAAGGGCAGAGACACCAGGAGAUACAGAGCAGGCAGCAUGGCAUUAUAGAGUAAAAGAGGCCGAGCCACAUAAAAGAAUGCAGAUUAAAAGAUAUGGGUUAAUUUAAGUUAUAAGAACUAGUUAGAAACAAGCCUAAGCUAUCGACCAAACUUUUAUAAUUAAUAAUAAGUCUUCUUGUUGUUAUUGGGGAGCCAAUGGUCCCAAUGAACAAGUCUGACUACAUCCCAGUGCCAGAGGGUGGAGACAGGUGGAUCCCUGGGGCUUGUUGGCCAGCUGGCCUAGCCAAAUUGGUGGGCUCCAGGAUCAGAGAGGUGCUGGUUUUUUUGUUUGUUUGUUUGUUUGUUUUUUUAAUAUACAGGGAUACUGGACUUACAGACUUGUAUUCACACCCUUGGUCACCUUCACAGGCCUCACCUGUCUGAGGACUACAGGAGACAGUUCCUGGGAAAGUGCCUAUCAAGGGACCUGGCAUGUAGCAUGCUUCAGUACAAAGAUACACUUGAAUCUGAGAUGCCUGAUAUUUGUUUUUAACUGCUUGCUCUCCUGCCUAUAAAGGGUGGUCUAUCAGUACCGGGUUCAGUGUGAGGUACCAGGGGAAGGAACUCUCCGGAGAAUACAGGCGUCAUGACUGCUGCAUACUUACCCAUUUUCAUUCCUGUGCUCUCCGACCCUCAGAUCAAGGACCUUUCAAACUAAUCAUAGGUCUGUUCCUGCUGUGGAUGAUUGAUUGAUCAAUAAAACACUGAUUGAUGUAGUGGGUAGCCAUUCCAGCUUUGGUCUGGAAGUUCCAACCCCCAUUUGGUAACAGUUUUGGUAAUUAUCAUGCCCACAAGGCGGGGCCAAGGGAGGGCCUGAAGACCCCAGAUCGGGAAGUGCCACGCUCUCUUGCUGCUGGGAGCCCAGACGCUAGAG